CAGUCGCCGCGGGAAUACGAAGGGUGCAAGCGUUAAUCGGAAUUACUGGGCGUAAAGCGCACGCAGGCGGUCUGUCAAGUCAGAUGUGAAAUCCCCGGGCUUAACCUGGGAACUGCAUUUGAAACUGGCAGGCUAGAGUCUUGUAGAGGGGGGUAGAAUUCCAGGUGUAGCGGUGAAAUGCGUAGACAUGCGGAGGAACACCGAUGGCGAAGGCAAUCCCCUGGGCCUGCACUGGCGCUCAUGCACGAAAGCGUGGGGAGCAAACAGGAUUAGAUACCCCUGUAGUCCCUGUCUCUUAUAC
rnacentral:rRNA from 1 species